CGUCUAUAUACGUAUAGCAUAUCAAUAAGCGGAGGAAAAGAAACUAACUAGGAUUCCCUCAGUAACGGCGAGUGAAGCGGGAAGAGCUCAAAUUUGAAAUCUUCAAGGUUCUACCUUGACGAAUUGUAGUUUAAAGAAGUGUUUUCUGUUGGAGUUUUGGUAAAAGUUCUUUGGAAUAGGACAUCAUAGAGGGUGAGAAUCCCGUAUUUGACCAUUUCUUCCAGCUGUGUGAUACACUUUCAAAGAGUCGGAUUGUUUGGGAAUGCAGUCCAAAAUGGGUGGUAAAUUUCAUCUAAAGCUAAAUACUGGCGAGAGACCGAUAGCGAACAAGUACCGUGAGGGAAAGAUGAAAAGAACUUUGAAAAGAGAGUUAAACAGUACGUGAAAUUGUCAAAAGGGAAGCGUUUGACACCAGUGUUGUUUUCUCGAAAAUCAAUUAAAAAUGGCAGGAUUUUGUGUUGUAUUGACUUUAUCAGCUUUCUGCACUUUUUUCUUGUCUUUUUUAAUGCACUUUUCGUUUAACAAGUCAACAUCAAUUUCUUUUGUUGUAAAAGGGUCAUUGGAAGGUGGCUUUCUUCUCGGAGAAAGUGUUUAUAGCCUUUGGCCUCUGCAAUCGGAGAGAUUGAGGUCUGCAGCGUAGAUCCUUCGGGGUUAGAUGCAUUUGUGCUAAGUUAUAGCCUUUCAUAGACAACUUGUUGACUAUGAUCAGUCAUGUAGCUUACUCGCUUAUGCUAUUUUACCUACGCUUAGGAUGUUGAUCUGUAGUGCGUGCGC
rnacentral:rRNA from 1 species